AACGACUCUCGGCAACGGAUAUCUCGGCUCUCGCAUCGAUGAAGAACGUAGCGAAAUGCGAURCUUGGUGUGAAUUGCAGAAUUCCGUGAACCAUCGAGUCUUUGAACGCAAGUUGCGCCCCAAGCCUUCUGGCCGAGGGCACGUCUGCCUGGGUGUCACA
rnacentral:rRNA from 1 species